rnacentral:rRNA from 1 species
GAUGAACGCUGGCGGCGUGCCUAGUACAUGCAAGUCGAGCGAACGGACGAGAAGCUUGCUUCUCUGAUGUUAGCGGCGGACGGGUGAGUAACACGUGGAUAACCUACCUAUAAGACUGGGAUAACUUCGGGAAACCGGAGCUAAUACCGGAUAAUAUUUUGAACCGCAUGGUUCAAAAGUAAAAGACGGUCUUGCUGUCACUUAUAGAUGGAUCCGCGCUGCAUUAGCUAGUUGGUAAGGUAACGGCUUACCAAGGCAACGAUGCAUAGCCGACCUGAGAGGGUGAUCGGCCACACUGGAACUGAGACACGGUCCAGACUCCUACGGGAGGCAGCAGUAGGGAAUCUUCCGCAAUGGGCGAAAGCCUGACGGAGCAACGCCGCGUGAGUGAUGAAGGUCUUCGGAUCGUAAAACUCUGUUAUUAGGGAAGAACAUAUGUGUAAGUAACUGUGCACAUCUUGACGGUACCUAAUCAGAAAGCCACGGCUAACUACGUG